AGCGGCCCGUGGCGUCUUUGGGCCCGGCUGCCCGCCGGAGCCCCUGGAAAAGCAGGGAGAGCUGGGCAAGGCCGCUUCCUGUUCGUGCUGCUCUCUGGGCUGGCCGUGCGCACCGUCACACGCCGCCUUCCGCGGCCGCUCGGGCAGCGAGAAAACGUUUUCACGGGAAAACUGCGCGGAAAAACAAACAAACAAACAAACUGGCUGAUUUCAAAUUGUUACUGUCAUCAAGUGGAGAUGCACGAGCAGCUACAGACCAGGACGUGUCACGGUGCUAGGAAUGGGUUUAGGUCUAACUGGCUGUCGCUGAACACUGAACCCGGAUCGCGGCAGGAGCUGCCGGCGCGGCCCGUGGCCCGUCCAAGCAUCUCCGGGCGGCAGCUGCACGUGGAGCCACCGGCCCCGCAGGGCAGCGGAGCAGGAACCACGGAAACGCUGCCAAGGCAACGUCAGCACAACACCUCACCUGAGCAGGGCAUCCCCGUGCAGAUGUGUGAAGCCUCCAAACUAUGCCAAAUGUGACCUGUUCAUACCACUCCUGUCACACCCUCCAUGCCCCGAUGCUGAGAACCACAUUCACUGCACUAAAAAUAAAAAAACACCACUGCCUUUAUUUUCCUUAAA